AUGAAAGUAUCUGAAUGUUUUACAUGACAAAAUUAUCUGAAUCAAAGUAAAUGCAGAAGCUUAAUAAAUGUGGUUUUGUUCCUUUCAGAGAUAAAAUGCAGGAGGCAACAGUUUAAUAAUGCAGAUAUUAUUGGAAAAAUUCAGGCUGAAUACAGGUACAACGAUCGUGUCCAGUAUAACUGCAAGAGAGGUUAUGAAGGAAGUUUCACUCUAACCUGUAGAGAAGAUGGCUGGCAUAGGUCUAAUGAAUGUACAGCAGUUUCAACAUGUGAAGCACCGGUGAUUGAAAAUGGUUUUGUACCUGGAGAUAUCAAAGAGUACAAUGAACGUGAAAUCCUAAACUUUGAAUGCAAUCCUCCAUAUAAACGUGCUCUAGAAUUACCUUCGAGGUGCACAAAGACAGGAGACAGAGCAGAGUGGAUCCCCACACCUGAAUGUGAAGAAAUAAAAUGUGAGCUGACACUGCCACCACUCC